rnacentral:misc_RNA from 1 species
GAGAGAGUGGUAGCAUUGUCAAAUAAGGAAGAAAAAUAAAAUGAAAAUAUUAAAAAUAAGAGAAAAGCAGAAAGAGAACAAUAAAAGGCCAUCGAUAAAUAAUCAACUUCCAUGCAAGAGAUUAAGGGUUCAAACAUUGGCAACAAUCCCCUUCAAGAAUUUUCAAAGAACAAAAAAUAAAAGGAUAUUUUCCACAAUAGAAUGCUAGUAACUCCAAGUGAGUAACCAAAAAAGGUGCUCAAUGGAGUUAUAAUUAAAAUUUUUUGACACCACAAUCGUUUUUGCUAACACUUAACCAUUUAUUAUUUAUUAGAGUAAUAAUAUUUUAACUUGGAGGUGAUAAUAUUUUAACUAGGAGAACUUCAUUCAUUAAAAUCACUCAAUAAAUUGAGUGGAAACUUCCUACUUAAUUUUUCAAUCCAAUAAUGAUUCUUUUCUCAAUUGACACAAUAAUCACUACCUUUUUCCUUUUGAUACAAAGAAGGGGGGAACCCAAAAACAACAAGAGAAAUCAACCAGCCCUCAUCAAUCUAGGCCUGAGAGUCCUCUCUCACCAACUGCAACACCUUAUUAGGAGGAACCUAAAGCAAGUGCAUCCCUUCAACUGAAUCCACACUCAUAUUUUGGCUACUUUUGAUUGUUAUCAACUAAGCUAUUGUCACUUUUGUUGCCACCCUAACAACACAAUCACUAAAACUGAAACGACUACCCACAUCCACCAUCAUGAUCACCGGCAUUAUCAUCACUAUUACUGCUAAGGAUUACAAGCAAAGUAAUUAUUGUCAUGCUAACAACACCACCACAACCUUAUAACCACCACUAACCAGUAACCACUGCUUAAAAGCUGAUCAUCAUCCCUAGUUCCCCACUGCCUCCACCAUCAUCAUAACCACACUAUUAUACCAAAUUGAAAAUUCCUUUUGUCAAAUUGUGUUAUAAUAUUUAGGAAAAAGUACAAAAAAUUACCUUGAGAUUUUGUGCUUUAAUAUGGUUCAAUUUUUGACAAAAUGGUAUCCUGAACUUUACUCUACUAGAAAUUUAAGGAAAAAUGCUCUAAUAUUGUUAAUUUUGCUAAUGUGGCAGUGCGAGUAUAAUAAAAGUUUACUUUUUAAAAUUUUUCUUAGCUUCCACAAAUAACAUGAAAACAAAAAAGAAAAAUUGAAUUAACAAUUUUUAAUGAAAAGAAAAAAUUUAUUUUAUUUA